CAUGGGAGUUGGUUCUACCCGACGACGCUGUGCUAACCUUCGGGGGCAGGCGGCCACGGUAGGAUCAGCGACUGGGGUGAAGUCGUAACAAGGUAGCCCUAGGGGAACCUGGGGCUGGAUCACCUCCUUUCUAAGGAUGUUUCUAGCAACUUAAGCUUGCUUUUGUUCGUGAAACACUUAGCAGAUUGGCAAACAAAGCCGAUCAUAUAUCGAACCGGACUGUCCUCAUAUCUCUUCAGUAUACAUCAGACCUACCGGUCUGUACUGGGUCGGUAGCUCAGGUGGUUAGAGCGCACGCCUGAUAAGCGUGAGGCCGGAGGUUCAAGUCCUCCUCGACCCACCAUUAACGCGUCUAUUUUAGGAUAUGGCGUGUAGGGGGCCUUAGCUCAGAUGGGAGAGCGCCUGAUUUGCAUUCAGGAGGUCAGCGGUUCGAUCCCGCUAGGCUCCACCAUAUAACAAGUUUUGAUCAGAUCGCGAAGCACAAUGGUUUGUGUUUCGCCGUCCGAUUGGACGCAUUGACAUCGUUUAGAGAGAUACAAAUAUCAACAUUGUUUGAUCGCCCGAAGUAGCGGGAUGAUCUCAAUUUGGUGAAGCAAGUUUAGGCUUGUGGAGAGCUUUUGGAUCCACCCUUUUCCUCGGGUGCCCUUAAGUAUGCUGGGUUGAAACGAACAUGUUGUCCAAGUCAAGUACACUAACCCGAGCAGCAGUAAUGUUGCUCAACAGUUCAAACACACCGACAUGUGUUUGAGCGGGAAAGUAUGACUUUUGACCGGAAGAUGAGAUGCCUGGUGAACCAGCUUGGCAUCAUUCAGACGCAAGUCUGACUUUUUCUGGAUCAAAUCAAGCGCGAAAAGGGCGUUUGGUGGAUGCCUUGGCAGUAAGAGGCGAUGAAAGACGUGAUACUCUGCGAUAAGCCAUGGGGAGCUGAGAAUAAGCUUUGAUCCAUGGAUUU
rnacentral:misc_RNA from 1 species